rnacentral:rRNA from 2 species
GGGUUGUGAGGUUAAGCGACCAAGCGUACACGGUGGAUGCCCUGGCAGUCAGAGGCGAUGAAGGACGUGCUAAUCUGCGAUAAGCGCCGGUAAGGUGAUAUGAACCGUUAUAACCGGCGAUUUCCGAAUGGGGAAACCCAGUGUGACUCGUCACACUAUCAUUAACUGAAUCCAUAGGUUAAUGAGGCGAACCGGGGGAACUGAAACAUCUAAGUACCCCGAGGAAAAGAAAUCAACCGAGAUUCCCCCAGUAGCGGCGAGCGAACGGGGAGGAGCCCAGAGCCUGAAUCAGCAUGUGUGUUAGUGGAAGCGUCUGGAAAGGCGCGCGAUACAGGGUGACAGCCCCGUACACAAAAGCGCAUAUGCUGUGAGCUCGAUGAGUAGGGCGGGACACGUGGUAUCCUGUCUGAAUAUGGGGGGACCAUCCUCCAAGGCUAAAUACUCCUGACUGACCGAUAGUGAACCAGUACCGUGAGGGAAAGGCGAAAAGAACCCCGGCGAGGGGAGUGAAACAGAACCUGAAACCGUGUACGUACAAGCAGUGGGAGCCCCACCACUAAGCCAGUGGUGAACUCCACAUACGCAUCCUUUGCUGAAGGUGCGGUUAACGGAGCGUAAGCGACGUUCAACCUCAAAAAAGCAGAGGGGGCUUAGUGGUGGGGUGACUGCGUACCUUUUGUAUAAUGGGUCAGCGACUUAUAUUCUGUAGCAAGGUUAACCGCAUAGGGGAGCCGAAGGGAAACCGAGUCUUAACCGGGCGUUAAGUUGCAGGGUAUAGACCCGAAACCCGGUGAUCUAGCCAUGGGCAGGUUGAAGGUUGGGUAACACUAACUGGAGGACCGAACCGACUAAUGUUGAAAAAUUAGCGGAUGACCUGUGGCUGGGGGUGAAAGGCCAAUCAAACCGGGAGAUAGCUGGUUCUCCCCGAAAGCUAUUUAGGUAGCGCCUCGUGAAGUCAUCUCCGGGGGUAGAGCACUGUUUCGGCUAGGGGGCCAUCCCGGCUUACCAACCCGAUGCAAACUGCGAAUACCGGAGAAUGUUAUCACGGGAGACACACGGCGGGUGCUAACGUCCGUCGUGAAGAGGGAAACAACCCAGACCGCCAGCUAAGGUCCCAAAGUCAUGGUUAAGUGGGAAACGAUGUGGGAAGGCCCAGACAGCCAGGAUGUUGGCUUAGAAGCAGCCAUCAUUUAAAGAAAGCGUAAUAGCUCACUGGUCGAGUCGGCCUGCGCGGAAGAUGUAACGGGGCUAAACCAUGCACCGAAGCUGCGGCAGCGACGCUUAUGCGUUGUUGGGUAGGGGAGCGUUCUGUAAGCCUGUGAAGGUGGCCUGUGAGGGUUGCUGGAGGUAUCAGAAGUGCGAAUGCUGACAUAAGUAACGAUAAAGCGGGUGAAAAGCCCGCUCGCCGGAAGACCAAGGGUUCCUGUCCAACGUUAAUCGGGGCAGGGUGAGUCGACCCCUAAGGCGAGGCCGAAAGGCGUAGUCGAUGGGAAACGGGUUAAUAUUCCCGUACUUGGUGUUACUGCGAAGGGGGGACGGAGAAGGCUAUGUUGGCCGGGCGACGGUUGUCCCGGUUUAAGCGUGUAGGCUGACUUUCCAGGCAAAUCCGGAGAGUCAAGGCUGAGGCGUGACGACGAGGCACCACGGUGCUGAAGCAACAAAUGCCCUGCUUCCGUGAAAGCCUCUAAGCAUCAGGUAACAUCAAAUCGUACCCCAAACCGACACAGGUGGUCAGGUAGAGAAUACCAAGGCGCUUGAGAGAACUCGGGUGAAGGAACUAGGCAAAAUGGUGCCGUAACUUCGGGAGAAGGCACGCUGACACGUAGGUGAAGUGGUUUACCCAUGGAGCUGAAGUCAGUCGAAGAUACCAGCUGGCUGCAACUGUUUAUUAAAAACACAGCACUGUGCAAACACGAAAGUGGACGUAUACGGUGUGACGCCUGCCCGGUGCCGGAAGGUUAAUUGAUGGGGUCAGCGCAAGCGAAGCUCCUGAUCGAAGCCCCGGUAAACGGCGGCCGUAACUAUAACGGUCCUAAGGUAGCGAAAUUCCUUGUCGGGUAAGUUCCGACCUGCACGAAUGGCGUAAUGAUGGCCAGGCUGUCUCCACCCGAGACUCAGUGAAAUUGAACUCGCUGUGAAGAUGCAGUGUACCCGCGGCAAGACGGAAAGACCCCGUGAACCUUUACUAUAGCUUGACACUGAACAUUGAGCCUUGAUGUGUAGGAUAGGUGGGAGGCUUUGAAGCGUGGACGCCAGUCUGCGUGGAGCCAACCUUGAAAUACCACCCUUUAAUGUUUGAUGUUCUAACGUGGACCCGUAAUCCGGGUUGCGGACAGUGUCUGGUGGGUAGUUUGACUGGGGCGGUCUCCUCCUAAAGAGUAACGGAGGAGCACGAAGGUUGGCUAAUCCUGGUCGGACAUCAGGAGGUUAGUGCAAUGGCAUAAGCCAGCUUGACUGCGAGCGUGACGGCGCGAGCAGGUGCGAAAGCAGGUCAUAGUGAUCCGGUGGUUCUGAAUGGAAGGGCCAUCGCUCAACGGAUAAAAGGUACUCCGGGGAUAACAGGCUGAUACCGCCCAAGAGUUCAUAUCGACGGCGGUGUUUGGCACCUCGAUGUCGGCUCAUCACAUCCUGGGGCUGAAGUAGGUCCCAAGGGUAUGGCUGUUCGCCAUUUAAAGUGGUACGCGAGCUGGGUUUAGAACGUCGUGAGACAGUUCGGUCCCUAUCUGCCGUGGGCGCUGGAGAACUGAGGGGGGCUGCUCCUAGUACGAGAGGACCGGAGUGGACGCAUCACUGGUGUUCGGGUUGUCAUGCCAAUGGCACUGCCCGGUAGCUAAAUGCGGAAGAGAUAAGUGCUGAAAGCAUCUAAGCACGAAACUUGCCCCGAGAUGAGUUCUCCCUGAGACUAUAAGUCUCCUGAAGGAACGUUGAAGACGACGACGUUGAUAGGCCGGGUGUGUAAGCGCAGCGAUGCGUUGAGCUAACCGGUACUAAUGAACCGUGAGGCUUAACCUUACAACGCCGAAGCUGUU